rnacentral:rRNA from 1 species
GAUGAGCCUGCGUCCUAUCAGCUGGUUGGUGGGGUAACGGCCCACCAAGGCGACGACGGGUAGCUGGUCUGAGAGGAUGAUCAGCCACACUGGCACUGAAAUACGGGCCAGACUCCUACGGGAGGCAGCAGUGAGGAAUUUUGCGCAAUGGGAGCAAUCCUGACGCAGCAACGCCGCGUGAGUGAUGAAGGCCUUCGGGUCGUAAAGCUCUGUCAGGUGGGAAGAACAUCCAUGGGAUGAAUAAUGUCAUGGAGUGACGGUACCACCAGAGGAAGCACCGGCUAACUCCGUGCCAGCAGCCGCGGUAAUACGGAGGGUGCGAGCGUUAUUCGGAAUUACUGGGCGUAAAGCGCGUGCAGGCGGGAAGGCAAGUCUGAUGUGAAAGCCCCGGGCUUAACCCGGGAAGUGCAUUGGAAACUGCCUUUCUUGAGUACUGGAGAGGAAGGGGGAAUUCCCGGUGUAGAGGUGAAAUUCGUAGAGAUCGGGAGGAAUAUCAGUGGCGAAGGCGCCCUUCUGGACGGAUACUGACGCUGAGACGCGAAAGCGUGGGGAGCAAACAGGAUUAGAUACCCUGGUAGUCCACGCUGUAAA